UGGUAAUCUAGAAACUCUUAAUCUUACUUAGAAACUCUUAAUUAAUUUACUUAAUCCCUUUAGGGAGUCCUACACCUCUUCAGGUGUAGCAUACCAGGCAUGGAAGUAUGGUUGAUGGAUUAAAGACUUGAUCAGAGCAGUUAAUGAUCUAAGGGCAAGAGAAUUACUGGGCCUAAGCCACAAAGGCUUAGCCCUCACCUUGUCAAACCUCAUUCUUCUGAAAAGCGUGAAUCCCCACCUACUCUGAUCUUGUCAUCUAUGCUACCAAUGAGAAUCAACUAUGCUUUGUUAUGUAUUCAUUCAUCCUCACAAUCCACAAUAAAGCCUGGGGUGAGCACAUGGUUCUUCCUCUUGUUUCCUGCAACCUUGAAGUUCUCCCUGCUGUCUCUCUUUUUAUCUUUCCUAACACCACUCUUGGCCACGUGCUUUCUAUCUCGGAAUUUUUACUUCCACAUGUCAGCAUAUUUCUCACAUUUUCCUUUUACUAUUUUUCUAAGGAGAAUGUCAUCAGGGACCAACGCCAUCCCUUACUAAAAAUCGACUUGUCUGUGUCUCUUGAUUCAUCACCCAUUUUCUCAGACUCCUUGCUCCUUCUCGAGCCCAAACCCACUAAGGAAAAUUCUUUUUUAUAACAGCCGCUGGACGUCUGUUAUAUCAGGAAUGACUUGAUCCUGUCUUCUCAAAUUGUGCUUGUCUUUCCCAUUGUUGGGUCAGUUUGGAAUUCCACUGAGGAAACUUCUGGUAUCCAUUGGAGUUCAGAGAAAGUCUUCCUGGACCUCCAAGGCCUAUGAUCUGAAGAGGAUACAUGUAGAAGAUAUUGAGCUAGAAAAAAAGGAACCACUUGGAACUGGAAGAGCAGAAGCACAGAUGGAAGACACCAUUACAAGAAAAGGGAACAGGACUCUUCUCUGUGGGUUAUGCUUUCCCUUUCCUAAUUUUUUACUUUUUAUUUUUUAAAUUUGAUUUUCUUCUUUUUAAAAUCAGGCUGGCUAAUAGUUUACCAAUUUUGUUAGUCUUUUCAAAGAACAAGCUUUUAUUUUUGUUUACCAGUUCAGUGGUCUUUAGGUUUCCAAUUUAUUUCUCCUCUAAUUUUUAAAAUUUCAUCUUUCUGUGAUUAUUUUGGGCUUGUUCAUUGAUUUUCUAUUUUUUCCUCUUUUUUAAUUGUAUAUUCAGUUUAAAGAGUUUUCUUCUUUUUUUUUUCUAUUUUGUAAUGUAUUUUUUUAGGGAAGAGACUUGACAGAAGAGGACAGUUGUAGAGUUGAACUAUUUCAUUAACGUGUGCAAAAGGGAAAGGAAGGAGAAUACAGCUAGUGCAGUGGUGAUGGCCAGAAAAAGAAGUGAGGGAUGGAAGUCGAUAUUAUGAUGAAGAACAAGGUUAAUCAUUACAAGGCAGAGGGAAAGUGAAAUGAGAAUAGAUUACGAUCAGAUAAAGAAAUUUCAAAAUUC